rnacentral:rRNA from 1 species
UACGUAGGGGGCGAGCGUUGUCCGGAUUUAUUGGGCGUAAAGAGCUCGUAGGCGGCUGUUCGAGUCGGGUGUGAAAUCCUGAGGCUUAACCUUGGGUCUGCAUUCGAUACUGGGCGGCUUGAGUCUGGUAGGGGGAUCUGGAAUUCCUGGUGUAGCGGUGGAAUGCGCAGAUAUCAGGAGGAACACCGGUGGCGAAGGCGGCUACCUGGACAGAAACUGACGCUGAGGCGCGAAAGCUAGGGGAGCAAACAGG